GUUUCUCAUUCAGCCGCCCCUCCCUAUUUCCCAUUUCCCCUAGUCUUUUUCAUUCUCUCUCUCUCUCCCUCUCUCCACCGUUCUCUGUUGUGCUCCAUCGCCGCCGUUGAGAAGCUCGCCUCGCCGCCAUGGUUCACUCUGACCAUCGCCUCGCCGCCGUGAGGACCUGUGAGGAUUCGCCUCGCCGCUGUGAAGAUGCCGUGAGGAGUGAGGACGCCGUCGAGCCCCAUUCUCUUCGCCUUGCCGCCCAAACCUCAUCAUUUGCUCCUCAGUCUCAGCCUCUGCAUCUCUGAGCGUAGCUGAAUCGAGCACAACCCAAGGAGCCAACCGAAUCGGGUCUUUGAUUGUUGGGCUGCCAGUGGCUUCGCAAUUUGUGCAUUUCGAAUUGAUGAAAUCGGGCUCCACUUGUCCGGUUUGUAAAGUCCCAUAUUGGCGUAGAGAGCAUGAGCCAUUUGUGCUGUGUCCGAGUUUGACUCUAAGAUGUGUUGGUGGGGCCUAGGAUAUAUCUGUACGCGCAUAAACCGAUGAAGGAGUUGACAAAGUUCAUGCUAUAAGAACUCUUCUUCCUUAUUUCUCGCAGCGUUUACUCUGUAUAUAAGUUAUAAAAAUGCCAUCGAAGCCUUAACUCACACUACUACUUUUAUGUUCUCUGACUUCAUAGUACACAAAAUACAAAAGCAAAACUUUUGGCUCUUCAAAUACCUCUGCUCCGCUCAACUUAAAAGCGCUGGUUUGAAUCUGAUCCUUUGUGUCAGCGAGUUCUGGCCAUAGCCAGGCUUUGAAGUAAACUAACUUUUGUAGACUCUGCUAAAGCAAAAUGGUUUCCAACGCUACAGCUGGACUGACAUGUCCAUCCCCAAUGAAACCUACCUCAAAUGGCAUAUUUCAGGGAGAUGAUCCUCUUCAAUUUUCACUGCCUCUUGCCAUUAUGCAGAUAUGCCUUGUAGUUGUAGUUACAUGGGGUCAAGCUUUCAUCCAAAAGCCAUUAAGACAGCCACGAGUUAUUGCAGAGAUCAUUGCCAAAGGUUUCAUUGGCACUUUUCUUCAAUUACAACACCUCGUUGGGACCGCCUUAUCGGGUUUUGGUAGAUACCAACUUCAUCAAUUUCUCUAUCCAGAAUAAACUGGACUUGGAGAAGGGAAUGAUGGACUUCCUAUAUGCAAAAUGUGAGUUUAGAAUCAUUGGUUUCUUCAAUUUAAUGUGAAUAUUAAUUUGCUGCAAGAAUUGUUGUGCCGUGUUGAUGAGGUAUCCUAAGUUCAACAUAGUUGUUAAUGUGGUUUUAUAACAAGCAUUGAGUGCCAUUUAUCAUUGGCAAACACUUAAAUAUGUGUUGGUUGCUUAAUGAUAUUUAUCAAAAUAUUACUCUUGGUUGUGUGGAUGUCCAUAAAAAUGCUUAAGGAAUAAAAUGAGGAACAUUUUUUAAAUUA